CUUUUGGUAUGUUGCCAACAAGAUUGUUUCCAGUAAGGUUUAGCACAACUACUAGACUGGUACACAUUCAAGAUCUGCAGGUAUGUUUCCUUCUUGUCUAUUGUUCUGCAUGUAUAAAGUUGUCAGCAUUGUCAAGUUACUAAAACAGGACGUACGUGAUCUUCCCUGAAAACUUAUUUCCAUCUAACUGCAGUCCUUGUAGGCGUUGUAGCUUGCUUAUAGACUCGUUAACGUUACCCUUGAAGUUGUUAUUAUCGAGUGAUAAUCUUGUCAAAUUUUCAAGGUUCCCCAGUCCAGCAAGAACAGUGCCAUGUAUCAGAUUAAAACCUAG
rnacentral:lncRNA from 1 species